ACGAGAGCAGCGGCAAGCAAAAAAGGCGGGAAACGACGGCGGCGUUCUGCGCUCCUAUUGGCUGACGGGCAGUCGGUGCACCUAUAUAAGAUGCGCGGGAGACCACUGAGGGACAAACGUUCACCUGAGGCCAUGAUUGGGGGUGAGGAAUGUGGAGAGAAAGGCAGCAAGCGGAGCGCGGGCUGAGAAGGAAGUGGAAUAUGAUGGAAAGAAGGAAAGUGCUGCAGCAGUGGUGGAGAAAGUAGAGGAAGAAGCUCAAAAGAAAGGAAGGAGCUGCUGCAGAAGAAAGAAGGAGCGGCGCGUGGAAGUGCGCGACGAGGGAGCAAGAAGAGGAAGCAGGAGACUGCGCGUGGGGAAAGGGAGAGGCGUUCUGGGCAAAAGCAUUUCCCCGUCCCUGGGGUGUAGUCGUACUGCGAUGGAGCGUGGCAGGCACCGUGGGUGACCUGGCCGGCUGUGUGCUGGGCGACCUCCCUGUAAGCAGGGCUCGGGUCUUUGCUGUAGUAGGCCUUUUGCCUUGUUGCUCCUUUGGCUGCCUGGGGAGCGUGGCCCCCUGUAAGCAGGGUGAGAGCCGCCUCUCCGCACCCGAGCGGGAAACGGAGCUCGCUGGACCCCACGGCCACCCUGUAAGCAGGGCAGUGC